UGGAUUAUUUUGUUGUGUUCAUGUGUUCGUUCCUGUUUAAUGUUGCAUAGGUUUUUGUUUUUAUUACAAAUUCAAUAACCAUAAAUUAAUUUGAAUUGCUAUAGUGAUAUUGCCUCCGCAAGAAAGUACGUCAACAUACGAAAAUCGAAAGCAAUACAAGCACCUUCUUGUGCUAAACCACUAUGCUAAUGCCACUUUUACCCAGACGGUCCCUGAUCGCCUGACCUGAAGGCGACACACUUAUUGGUGUAGUGCGAAGGAAAAUGUGAAUCCAAACUUGGUUGGUACAAUCAUCAAAAUCAAAUGCGCACAUUCCACGAAGAUCAAGGAGCUUGUCACAUCAACCCCCGCCACACAUUAUCAGCACAUUAGUGAUGGCAGCAAUUGAAUUUACCUGUCAUUAGCCGGGGAUUUUACGAGGAAAAUAACCGGCGAUAAACGUAAAUGUCAGGCGCUUAUCAGUAAAUGUGAUAAAACUCUGUCAAAAACAUAACUUAAUUACGUCAUCCAUCACACACAGUCCUGCCAGCCAGAAUGUCUCCCGACCAUUGUCAUAAACUUUUGGUCUAAAAAAAAAACAGACUUUACACAUUGUCAGCAAAUUUGACUCGCACGUGGAAGCCAACAGAUGUGUAGUGCUACUGUUCCCGUCAUUAAUUGUCGCUGUCAUUUGUACAUCAUGAGUGUAAUUCUCGUUUGCGUGUUGAGGAAUGAAACGUAUGAG